rnacentral:tRNA from 1 species
CAAAUAGUAUCUUAAGUUAAAGUGUUUUAUUUACAUUAAAUUGUUCGUUGUUUACGUUAUUUGA